rnacentral:rRNA from 1 species
UGCCUAUCAGAGGGGAACAACAGUUAGAAAUGACUGCUAAUACCGCAUAUGCCUUAGAAUCACAUGGUUCAAAAGGGAAAGGAGCAAUCCGCUGAUAGAUGGGCUUGCGUCUGAUUAGCUAGUUGGUGGGGUAACGGCCUACCAAGGCGACGAUCAGUAGCCGAACUGAGAGGUUGAACGGCCACAUUGGGACUGAGAUACGGCCCAGACUCCUACGGGAGGCAGCAGUCGGGAAUAUUGCGCAAUGGAGGAAACUCUGACGCAGUGACGCCGCGUGCAGGAAGAAGGUUUUCGGAUUGUAAACUGCUUUAGACAGGGAAGAACAAAGACAGUACCUGUAGAAUAAGCUCCGGCUAACUACGUGCCAGCAGCCGCGGUAAUACGUAGGGAGCGAGCGUUAUCCGGAUUUAUUGGGUGUAAAGGGUGCGUAGACGGGAAGUCAAGUUAGUUGUGAAAUCCCUCGGCUUAACUGAGGAACUGCAACUAAAACUGAUUUUCUUGAGUACUGGAGAGGAAAGUGGAAUUCCUAGUGUAGCGGUGAAAUGCGUAGAUAUUAGGAGGAACACCAGUGGCGAAGGCGACUUUCUGGACAGAAACUGACGUUGAGGCACGAAAGUGUGGGGAGCAAACAGGAUUAGAUACCCUGGUAGUCCACACCGUAAACGAUGGAUACUAGGUGUAGGGGAUAUUAAAAUUCUCUGUGCCGCCG